rnacentral:rRNA from 1 species
UACGGAGGGUGCAAGCGUUAAUCGGAAUUACUGGGCGUAAAGGGUGCGUAGGUGGUUAAUUAAGUUAGAUGUAAAAACCCUGGGCUUAACCUGGGACUGAGAUUUAAUACUGGUUAACUUGAGUAUGGGAGAGGGUAGUGGAAUUUCCGGUGUAGCGGUGAAAUGCGUAGAGAUCGGAAGGAACACCAGUGGCGAAGGCGGCUACCUGGCCUAAUACUGACACUGAGGCACGAAAGCGUGGGGAGCAAACAGGAUUAGAUACCCUGGUAGUCCACGCUGUAAACGAUGUCAACUAGCCGUUGGUCAUAUAAAAGUGAUGAGUGGCGCAGCAAACGCGAUAAGUUGACCGCCUGGGGAGUACGGUCGCAAGAUUA